GAACGCGCGACCGGGGCGUGAGGGGAGGCGGCGCGCGCCGGGCUGCGCUCGCUCCGCAGCGCUCACUCCUCAGCGCGGCUCCGUGAGGCGCCGCCUCGCUCAGUGCAGGUCCCAGAUCUCGCAGAGCAGCGAGGGACUGACUUUGGAAAAGGUUUUAUCCACAUUGAUGAGUAAAGUAGGCAGCACGGAAGGAGCACUUACAUUCUGCCAGCAUUCCCACAGCUUUGCACUUCUUCAGGCGACAUUCCUGACACUUCCUUCGCAUGUACAUGUCCAUUUCACAGUGACCACCGUUCUUGCAUCGAUAUACUGCAUUUUUGGUUAUGCUACGUCGAAAGAAGCCUAUGGACAAGGAUGGGUUUAUGACUGAAGGAAUCUAAGCAGCCAGAGUCCCACCGAGGGACGGCACCGAUGGCCCUCGUCCCCCUCGCUUGUCUCUGCUUGGCACGGAAGGCCAGGAUGUCAUCUCUGAAGCCAGGGAAAAGUGAGUAUUAACUCCUAAGUGUAAACACAAGGAAUAGAACAGGCCAGAGAUUCAGCCACACAACCCAGGUGCGGAGUCUGCUGAGGUGUAACGAAGGACCGGAAGGUAAAACAUGCUACAAAGCAUGGUCUGGACCUUGAGUGCCACACAACUUACUAUAAAGCAGCCUUACAUUUCCCAAAUUUGAAAAAUAUAUCUCAUACUUUACUACUUAAUCUGAUUCUGAUUAAAUACUCCAGAUGCUUGCUCUAUUAUCUUCUGGAUUGUAUGAAUGCUUUGAGAUUGUUGCUGAUAUAAAUUUAUCUUAUUCAGCACUUCUGCAGUGUGCUUGAUUAUCUCUGGGAUCAUAAAGAUACUUUUAUCUGAUAAAGCAUCCUGGGUUUUUCUUAUGUGUCUGCCUGAAUGGGAUUUAAACUUGAAAGAUGACUCAUGUCAAAGGGAGUCCUGUUAAAACAUUAUUGUUGAAAACAUUAUUAGUAAGGUUCUUAAUACUAAAUUAAAAAGCUUUGUGGCACAAAGUUAACAAAGCAUCAAGGACAUCACGGAUCACCAACAGUAGCUUUAGUUAGCAAAUAAAUAUCAAAGCAGCAAGUCAGCAUUACAAAGCUUGUUAUUUUAACUUGAGUGGAGGAUGUUUACUGUUAAAAGGGACAAACAAGAAUGUCAGAUAAGAUGACAGCUCAACAGAUCUCAACCCAGAAUUUAUCACACACUGUUUAAGGGAGUAUUUAAAAAGAUUACCCGGACCCCCUGGGGUCAAGGCCAGAUGCCCUUCUGCAAACAGCCUGCCCCACACAGAGCAGCGUCUGUUUGAACCAGAGCCUUUCCACACGGGUUUCCUCUCGCAGAAAAGUGUCGUGAUGCUUCUGAGUCACCACGUCUGAGAACACGGAUCUCUGUGGGUGGAAGAGUUUCUGUCAUGGAGAGAAUGUGCAGUGUUGGGCUGGUAUAAAUAGAAGUGCAUUACGAUGGUGGAGGCAUUAACACAGUGCAGAUCACUUUGCGGUGCUGUUUUCCAAGGGAAGUUGGUGUCUGCUCCCCCCAAAAGUCAGAACCACAGAAUCAUUGUGGCUGGAAGAGCCCCUUAAGAUCAUGGAGUCCAGCUGUUCACCCACCCCUGUCCCUGCCCCAUGUCCUGAGAACCUCAUGUCCGUCUGUCCAGCCCUCCAGGGAUGGCGACUCCAGCACUGCCCUGGGCAGCCUGUUCCAAUGCCCCACAGCCCUUUGGGGAAGAAAUUGUUCCUAAA